UGCUUCGUUGGCAGAAUAUUGUGCUUGUUUUAGGAGCAAGAAAUAUGGGUUUCCAUACGUUGU
rnacentral:tRNA from 1 species